rnacentral:rRNA from 1 species
AGCGAACGCUGGCGGCAGGCUUAACACAUGCAAGUCGAGCGGUCGUAGCAAUACGUCAGCGGCAGACGGGUGAGUAACGCGUGGGAACGUACCUUUUGGUUCGGAACAACACAGGGAAACUUGUGCUAAUACCGGAUAAGCCCUUACGGGGAAAGAUUUAUCGCCGAAAGAUCGGCCCGCGUCUGAUUAGCUAGUUGGUAGGGUAAUGGCCUACCAAGGCGACGAUCAGUAGCUGGUCUGAGAGGAUGAUCAGCCACAUUGGGACUGAGACACGGCCCAAACUCCUACGGGAGGCAGCAGUGGGGAAUAUUGGACAAUGGGGGCAACCCUGAUCCAGCCAUGCCGCGUGAGUGAUGAAGGCCCUAGGGUUGUAAAGCUCUUUUGUGCGGGAAGAUAAUGACGGUACCGCAAGAAUAAGCCCCGGCUAACUUCGUGCCAGCAGCCGCCGCCG